rnacentral:misc_RNA from 1 species
GAUGAAGAACGUAUCGAAAUGCGAUAAGUAGUGUGAAUUGCAGAAUUCAGUGAAUCAUCGAAUCUUUGAACGCACAUUGCGCCCCUUGGUAUUCCAUGGGGCAUGCCUGUUCGAGCGUCAUUUGUACCCUCAAGCUUUGCUUGGUGUUGGGCGUCUUGUCGUAUUACGACUCGCCUUAAAUACAUUGGCAGCCGGCACUUUGGCCUAGGAGCGCAGCACAUUUUGCGAUCGUAGCCCGUUGUACUGGCGUCCAUCAAGAACAUUUACCACGUUUGACCUCGGAUCAGGUAGGGAUACCCGCUGAACUUAAGCAUAUCAAUAAGCGGAGGA